CUUGGGUUUACUGACAGCUAUAAUCUAAAUGGGUACAGCAAACAUUGAACCAUCUGCAGAAAUAAGAAGUCGAAUUAAAUGGCAUCUAAGGUCCCUUCCAGAUUUACACUUCUAAGAAUCUACAAACAUUCUAUAGAUGAGGACACUGAGGCUUGACAACUUAAUUAGCUUGCAAGAGCCUCAGAGCUGUGGAGCUGUAACUUGAAAGGGAAGACUCCUUGACUCAAGAUCCUACACUAGGUCACCCAAAGACAGAAGUUGAUUGGUAGGCCUCAAAUUCUGGAACUAUUAUAGUAGGAAUGGCAAUCUUUAUAUACUGCAUUUCUUGAAUGUUCUGAAGCCAAUUAUUCUGAGUAAAAACUCAGAGGUUUUUGACCUUAGGUCAUGAUGUUUGGUCAGUUAGGAAAAUACUUGAGAGGCAGUAAAACCUAU